rnacentral:tRNA from 1 species
UUGGAUUUAGCUCAGUGGUAGAGCGCUUGCCUAGCAAGCACAAGGCCCUGGGUUCGGUCCCCAGCUCCAAG